AAGAAAGACUAUUUAGCGAAGUAGGCUAAUGGUGGUGGGGAGGAAGGGGGCUGAUUUUCACAUCUCAGAACUGUUAAGCCUGCAGAUAUUACUGAAAUCACAUCUGGGAACAAAGCUCUGCUUUAACACAAAGAGAGGUGCUGCGUCCUGGAGCACUGGCACAAGCGUUUGCGCACCAGAACUGCCAACAUCUGUCUCUGGAUUUAACAGCAAGGCAUGAGAGAAGAAGAAAUCUUCCCUAUCAGCAGCAGCAGGGGUUGCUGCAGCAAGAUGAUAAUUCCCUCCUGCUACUCUGCUGACAACCACCAAGCUGCACAGGAAGAGCAAAGCAUUUUAAUCAUGGAAUUGAAAAACAUAGCAGUUCCUAAAGCUCCACCUUACCUUGGCUGAUUUACAUUAAUUUAGAAUCAACUUGCUUUCAGCAAAGUAAUGUUAUCUAUGGAAGAUAACAGGCGGAAAAAUUCAGUAACUUCUAGCUUCCCUGUGCAUAACAGGCACGGAUCUAUGUACAUAAACAGUUUUGGAACAUCUUAGAUAAGCAAGGAUUAUUGAAUUCCUUAAAAGCACAGUGCAAACUUGAUGGUUCCAUAAUUCCAUACUAAAUGUUUUAUAAGUGCCAUGCUUCCAAAUACACACCAUUAAAAGGAUAAAAAAUUCACUAGCAGCUGGCAAGUCAGGGUCCAACCCAGUGUCCACUGGACCCAUCAGAAAUCCUGCGACAGAGGCCUCAAGGUUUUGGCUCUGUCUCUUCCAUCAGAUUAUCAUUUAUAACAAAGGCACUCCAUAAGAAGCUGCUAAGAUAAAUUCAAACCUUGUGU